CUGCACGGCAGGGCUGCACUCUGCCAUGGAGCGUCCUGUGAGGGAGGGGCUGCACUGCCACUUUACUGAUGAGGAAAUUAAGGUUCAGAGAGAUGAGGUCAUUUGUUAGAGGCCAGACAGCCUCCUCAGCCCAUUUCUAAGGUUGUUUCUGUGGUAUUUGCCAUAAAGCCAUAGGUUCAUUGAUUUGUUCUUAAGUAGUUCUGAGUCCUUCCUGCAUAUCAGGCAGGGACAAACGGGAAAGUCCCUGCCCUUGGCAAGUGCGGGGGAAAUGAAAUGAUUCUGCUCAGCCUCAUCCAUUGGUCUGAACAAUCACGUCUCAUGACCCCAGGGACACGGCUUCCCCUGAACGCGGAUCCUAGAGGCCAGGCAGAAGCAGCAUGGGUUUCCACUCACACGAUUUAUCUACUGCUCGUGAAAUCUCUGGAUUUAACUGUGAUGAAAGACCGGAGGCUGAAGGAGAACUUCAAUAUCAUAUAUUUUAAAGGUUGACUCACAGUUUGGAACAAGAAUUAAAGAACCACGAACUUCAAGUCUGGAUGAAGUGCUUCAUGCCUGUAAUCCAAGCACUUUGAGAGGCUGAGGCGGGCAGAUGGCUUGAGCCCAGGAGUUUGAGACCAGCCUGGAAAACAUAGAGAAACCCCGUCUCAAUAUAAGAAGAAGAAGAAAAAGAAAAAAAAAAAAUCAAAAACGAAAACAACACAAAUUUUAGAGUAAGUAUUUUAAGUUCCACAAAAACCUGGUUAGGAUUUGGAUAGCAAUUUCUUUAGUUCUACAAAUCAAUUUGGAAAAAAUUAAUUAAUUUGGGAAGAAUUCAUUUUGAGUCUUCUAAUCCAUGAACAUGGUAUCUCCAUUUGUUUAGACCAUCUUUAAUGCCUGCUAAUAACAUUUCUGUAUAGUGACCUUGUACAUUAUUCUUAGAUUCUUGAUAUUUUGUGCUAUUAUGUCUUUUUAUAAAUUUUAUUUUUCCAACAUUGUUGCUAAUAUAUAGUAAGAAAAUGGAAUGUUGCCUAUGGAUUUUGAACCCAACAACUUUGCUAAACUCCUCUGAAUCCUCAGAAUUUCCCUGUGGAUUAUGUAGACUCUUCUGCAUACACAACCAUAUCAUCUGUGAAUAAAGACAGUUUUGUUUUCUUCUUCACAAACUUUACCCAACUCACUGUGCAGUCUGCCACAUCCAGGCUGAUAUUGAAUAGCAGCGGCACCAAUAGGUGUCUUUGUCCCCUUGCCAAUCUUGUAAAGAAAGCUUUCAACAUUUUCCUGUUAGCUGUGUUGGCAGCUCUGACUUUUUCCAUAGAUGGCCUUCAUCAGCUUAACAACGGGUCUUUUCUUCCCAGAGGGCUGAGCUUUUCCUUAAGAACAGACAGUGAGUGUCAUCAAACACUCGGCUGCAUCUGUUGAGAUGGUCAUACGACUUGUGUCUUUUCCUGUGUUUGUGUAUGAACUCUCUCUGGGUGUCUGAGAGUUCUUGUGACUUUCACAGAAGAACACAAUUUACCCUCCCGUGUGGGAAGGGGAAGGAGGCAGAGGAAGAAAGACCCCAAGUCCCCCUCAUCCCCACUGACCUUCCUGCUGGCUUCGUCCUUGAUUUGUGCCUCCUUAGAUCCUGCGUUUGACUACUUGCGGUCAUGAUGACAGGGCCAACCUCCUGACCAGGGCUGUUGGCACCUCCCCUCCUGCCCAGAGCCCCUGCUCCAAACCACUUCAUUCAUCUUCUGUACCCCCAGCCAAUAUUUCCCUGCCCAGUGUCAACCCAGGCCCAGAACCAGACCACAAGGGACAGCCCCGGAACCCAGAAUCAGACAAAUCAGCCCGUCCCAAGCUGUCUCCCCUGCUCUGCCCGGCUUUCCCAGGAAGCCAACAGAGGCUGUGGCUUGGCCUUUCCCUCGCUCCUUUCUGCCUCCUGGUCUGCCUGCGGCUUCCCCCUGCCGCCCUGCGGGGCCUGCCAUGUCUCUCAUUUCUAGCGAAUGUUUCCAGAGCGAUGUUAGACUUUCCUUUCAAUAGCGCUGACCUCUGUUAGGCACCUUUAUGGAUUAAGACCUGGGCAUAGAUGGUUUCUUCGGCAUCACGACCUGAAGGUGCUUGGGAGAGACGGUGAGGAGGAGAAUGCACCCUGCCAUGCUCUGCACUGCACAUGGAUGCAGAUUUUACCAUGUUGGCCAGGCUGGUCUGAAACACACGGAGCCCAAGCGCCCGGUGGACUCUCUGACGGUCCUCGGGCGUGUGCCAUUGUAAGCAGAGUAUUCAGCUCUCAUCAGGGCCUCGCCAGAGCAGAAAUGGUCUGUUGAUAAAUGCAUCGUAUACAAUUAUAAAUGUGCACCCAGCAUUGCUGCUUCCUCUUUUUUUUUGAUAUAGGGACUUGCUCUGUCGCCCAGGCUGCAGCGCAGUAGGGCAGUCACAGCUCACUGCAGCCUCAACCUCCCAGGCUCAAGCAAUCCUUCCACCUCAGCCUCCUGAGUAGCUGGAACUACACAUCCAGCUAUUUUUUUUUUUUUUUUGGUAGACACAGGAUCUCACCAUGUUGGCCAGGCUGGUCUUAAACUCCUGCGCUCAAGUGAUCCGCCCACCUUGGGCUCCCAAAGUACUGGCAUUACAGGUGGGAGCCACUAUGCCUGGCCUGCUUCCUUUCGCAAACAGGAAUCUUGUAAAUAGAAUUGAUCAGAACUUGUUGUUUAAUGUACACAGACCUCUAGCUGUACUGCAAAGCUGUGUGCACAUGUGUUAAGUCAUCUGUUCUAUGUGUUCUAAUUAUAAAUAAGAAAAAACAAAUUUCAAUCAGCCAUGCUGGAGGAAGAGCAAUUAUGUUUCUAUUCCUUCUAUCGUAGGUGAUGUAAAAUUCUCAAACAAUGAGAUAGAUAAAAAGUACGCAGCCAAAAAGUGCAGGAAGAAGUGUUAUGGAGAUGGAGCAGGCCCUUCGUAAAAACACGAUGUUGGUUUUCUGGAUUUUGUAUGUUUGCUUUUUUUUUUUCCUCAUCCUAAAGAAAUAUUCACUGUCAUACCUAAUUUUGUUUUUGUAAGUUUGUAUUCUUUUCUUUAUAGGGAGGCCUCACAAAACCUGGAUCAGACUCGCCCACUGCCCUGUGUCUGCCCUCCCGACCCCCUCUCCUGCCCAGCAGGGAUGUGGGUGGCAGUGGUGCUGUGUGGAGGGUGGCGGGAGGACCGGGAAGACUGCGACCAGUGAGCCGGGAGGCCUUGGGACAGCCUCUCUCUGAAUCAUCCUGUGCACUGCCGGGUGUGACAGAGGCUCCUAGAGUCCUGCCUCAGAUGGCCGCCUUCAGAGAGGGAGUCACUGACGUCCCUGCUCAGCGCAGCCCUGGCAUGUGGGGGUCCCUCUACUCAUGAGAAACCCCCACCCAAUCACCGUGAGGUGUGUGACCCAUGCUCACAUCCAGGGGCCACUCAUUCAUUCAGGAAACAUUGGCCGAGCCCUCAGCAGGGGGCGGUGCUGGAUGCCGGGAUGUAGAGAGUGCCAGCCCCGAGGGCAGCCCAGGGUGCCCCAGUGGUGAGGAGCCCUGGUGUGGAGUGCAGGGUUCGUUUGGACCACGGCUGUGGAGGCCUAGAGGAGCUCCCGCCAUCAGGAUGGCCGGGCAUCAGGGCUCUUUGAGGGGGAAGGAGGCAUCAGUGCAGCGGCGGGCAGGGGUUCGACGGGCUGAGUCCUGCGACGUGUUGCAUCCACACCAGUGUCUGGGGCCAGCACCACUGCUCAGUCUCUGAACCCACUUAUUUCGCCCAAUAUUGCAUGAGUGGGAAGUUCCACCUUCCCCAGUCGGCUGCUUAUCUCGUCUUUCCAAUGCAGUUAGGAAGGGAAAAUAUUUUCUCCCCAUUUUACAGAUGAAGAAAUGGGGCCUGGGGAGGAGCAGAGCCCAGAACUGCUGCCCACCACCCUCCCUGCCUGGUGCUUUCCUGGGAACAUGUGGGAGCCCCCGCCUUGACCUUGGGACCUCCCAUCUGUAAUUGCAGGCCCCGGUCUGCCUGUGUGGAUGUGGAAUGUGUCACUCGGGAUCCUGGAGUCCUCCUGAGCUUGUCCAGCAGGGCUGCAUUCACUGAUGUGCUGACAGAGGCCUAGGCUCGGACCUCUAGGAAUAUCCAAGGCAUCUCAUUACGCAGAAAACCACCCUCAUGAGGUCCUGGGGGCCUCUCUCCAUCUUCCUGGGGGUGAUGCAAUAGAGUGUAACUUCCAGGCUGCCGAGGCAGGCCAUGAGGGGUUGCCCCCGUUGGAGGGGCAGAGUAGUAUUUGUGGGGUGGUAGGAAUCAUUCAAUGCCCACCUGCAACCCCCCGGGCUCACAGCACACUCUUAAGGCCAGUGCUACCAGCUCCCUUGGGUGGAUAGAGGAGCUACGGCUCAGAAGCAUGCCCACAGCUCCCCCAGGACCCUGAGGCCAGCCUGUGGCAGGGCCUGUGAUUUGAACCCUUCUACGAGGCUUCAAAUCAGUGCUGUUUGUCCUGGCCUCAUAAAACCUGGCUGCCCAGUUGGGAUUGGUGUCACUUGCCUUGCUGAACUGGGCACUCCUUGGGAAGAGGGUGGGUGCUGCGAGAAGGCGGUGGAUCCUGGCUGUGCAACCUUCGCAGGUGGCUGAACCUCUCUGUGCCUCAGUUUGCUCAUCUGCAAAGGGGGCUGGGAUUCCUGCCUACAUGCAUGUGCUCAAGAGGGAAAGCCGGCCAGGCAUGGUGGCUCAUGCCUGUAAUCCCAGCACUUUGGGAAGCUGAGGUGGGCGGAUCACUUGAGGUCAGGAGUUCAAGACCAGCCUGGCCUAAAUGGCAAAACCCCAUCUCUACUAAAAAAAAAAAAUACAAAAAUUAGCUGGACGUGGUGGCAGGUGCCUGUAAUCCCAGCUACUGGGGAGGCUGAGGCAGGAGAAUCACUUGAAUCUGGGAGGCAAAGGUUGCAGUGAGCCGAGAUCCCACCAUUGCACUCCAGCCUGGGUGACAAGAGUGAAACUCCACCUCAAAAUAAAUAAAUAAAUAAAUAAAUAAAUAAAUAAAUAAAUAAAUAAAUAAAAUAAAGUAAAAGAGGGAAUGCUGAGAGCCGGGUGUGGCCUGUGGCUCUGUAGCUACUCAGGAGGCUGAGUCAGGAGGAUUGCUUUAGGCCAGAGAUUCCAGGCUGCAGUGAGCUAUGAUCAUGCUUGUGAACAGCCGCUAUAUUCUAGCCUGGGAAACACAGUGAGACCCUGUCUCUGAAAAAAUAAAAUAUUUAAAAAAGAGUGAAUG
rnacentral:lncRNA from 10 species